GCGGGUAUAGUUUAGUGGUAAAACCCCUAGCCUUCCAAGCUAACGAUGC
rnacentral:tRNA from 1 species